rnacentral:tRNA from 1 species
GCCGUCGUGGCCAAGUUGGUGAAGGCGCCUCCCUGAUACGGAGGAGAUCGGGAGUUCGACUCUCCCCGACGGUA